GUAGGGAAUAUUGGGCAAUGGAUGCAAGUCUGACCCAGCCAUCCCGCGUGCCGGAAGAAGGCCCUCAGGGUUGUAAACGGCUUUUGACGGUGAAGAAUCGACAGGAUGCGUCCUGUUUUGACGGUAGCCGUUGAAUAAGCACCGGCUAACUCCGUGCCAGCAGCCGCGGUAAUACGGAGGGUGCGAGCGUUGUCCGGAUUUAUUGGGUUUAAAGGGUGCGUAGGCUGGAAGGUCAGUCAGCGGUGAAAAGCUGUCGCUUAACGAUAGUCUUGCCGCAGAUACUUCCUUUCUUGGAUGAGGAGGAGGCCACUGGAACGGAUGGUGUAGCGGUGAAAUGCAUAGAUAUCAUCCAGAACACCGAUUGCGAAGGCAGGUGGCUGUACCUUAAUCGACGCUGAUGCACGAGAGCAUGGGGAGCAAACAGGAUUAGAAACCCUAGUAGUCC
rnacentral:rRNA from 1 species